rnacentral:rRNA from 1 species
AUGGGAACGCGAAGAACCUUACCUAGACUUGACAUCUCCUGAAUAGUGUAGAGAUACAUGAAGCCCUUCGGGGCAGGAAGACAGGUGGUGCAUGGUUGUCGUCAGCUCGUGUCGUGAGAUGUUGGGUUAAGUCCCGCAACGAGCGCAACCCUUAUUGUUAGUUGCUAACAUUAAGUUGAGCACUCUAGUGAGACUGCCCGGGUUAACCGGGAGGAAGGUGGGGAUGACGUCAAAUCAUCAUGCCCCUUAUGUCUAGGGCUACACACGUGCUACAAUGGUGGGAACAAAGAGAUGCAAUACCGCAAGGUGGAGCUAAACUCAAAACCCCAUCCCAGUUCGGAUUGUAGGCUGAAACUCGACUACGUGAAGUCGGAAUCGCUAGUAAUCGCGGAUCAGAAUGCCGCGGUGAAUACGUUCCCGGGUCUUGUACACACCG